rnacentral:lncRNA from 1 species
CUCAGUUUAGUGUAGCUGCCAGUGACACUAAGAACCAUGGUUACCCCCCUCCUGCUCCCUCCUAUCAACCCCACAGCACCAGCUUCUGUGUGUUGGUUUACCAUCUUCUUGCUUAUCACUCAGAGUCACAAAAGAGAUGCUCAUCUCCAGAUAUCACAGCACAUGCAAGAUCAGGGGUAGAGGUUCUUGGAGCUCACUCCUCUCCAUCCGUUCUGCCAUUUCACUGACUUCCUGCCAAGUUCCAGCUGCCUCUUCCUAGGGCUUUCUCAUCACACCACAGAAGACUGUCUGCAAAUUUAGGAUUGGGAAUACUAAAGUAUCUGUUUCUCCCAAGAGGAAUCCCCAGCCAACGACUGCAAAGGUGUUGGUAUAAUGGAUAAUCUUGACUGUCCAUCUGAUUGGAUAUGCCUUUGGAGUGAAUGCAUCUACUCUGCUGCUGCUGCUGCCAACCUCAGAAAACAUCAGACUCCAGCUUCUUCAGGCUCUCAACAGUGACUCUCCAGAAACCAUUCAGUGUUCAGCAUCACUGGAACUGCUGGGGCAUCUAACCUCAUGAACUGUCCAGCUACUGGGUUCUCAGCCUCUCCAGCGUGAAGUCAGCCAUUGUAACUACCUACCCACUAUCACAUAAGCGAAUUGAAUUGGUAAUGUCUACUCACCCGGUCAGUUCUAUCCCUCUAGUGAAUCCUGACUAACACUGAUGCCCUGGCUUUGUCGGGGAUGACUGUAAGGAGGGUGAUUUACACCUUUUCCAAGGAUAUUUCUGUCUUAUGAAGCUCAUGUCACCCACAGCAGCAGCUGAACCUCUGUCUGCUACUAACCCCGCUUCCCUGCUUCUCUCCUACAAGUAUCUCUGGGGUUGUGUCCCAGACUACCUGCCUUGCACUCUGUGUGUCAAGCAGUCAGGGGAGUCAGACAAUGAGCUUCUGGUGGGCAGAGAGGCUUCUGAAAGUUGGAGCCCCCAAAAUGAACAUGAUGUAUAAGUGUUACUAAGAGGGAACUUGCAGAGCACCAGGUUCUGGUCAAGAACUGGAAAUCAGUGGCUAACUAUGAGGUGGAUGUCAUGCCUGAAGGAGCUACCAGAGACAACAAACCAUAUGGAAGCAAGUGUGGGGAUGGCAGAGUGAGGAGCCUCUGUAAGAUGAGCUGGGAAGAUCACAGUGCAACUUUCUGCAGGUUUAUGCAACAACAACUUAUAGCAAGGGCAGGAGACAGAAAUAAACAAGGCACUGACCUUGUUUCAAAGAGGUUUAGAGGAAGGAAGGAAGGAAGGAAGGAAGGAAGGAAGGGAGGGAGGGAGGGAGGGAGAGAGGGAGGGAGGGAGAGUGGGAAGGAGGGGGAGAGGGAGAGAGAGAGAGAGAGAGGAAGGAAGGAAGGAAGGAAGGAAGGAAGGAAGGAAGGAAGGAAGGGAGGGAAGGGAAGGAGGGGGAGAGGGAGAGAGAGAGAAAGAGAGAGAGAUGAAGGAAGGAAGGAAGGAAGGAAGGAAGGAAGGAAGGAAGGAAGGACACAUGGACACAUGGACACAUAUGCAUAGCAGGCCAGCUGGCUUCCUACCUCUGCCUCUAAGUGCUAGAAUUUAAGGUACAUGCCACCAUACCUGGCCAACUGCAGCCUGAUUCUUUUUGUUGGUUUGUUUCUUUGUUUGUUUCUUUGUUUGUUUGUUUGUUUGUUUUUGAGAUAGGGUUUCUUCCUUGAAUAGCCCUGGCUGUCCUGGGAUUAGCUCUGUAGACCAGGCUGGCCUCGAACUUACAGGGGCCUCUGCCUCCUGAGUGCUGAAAUUAAAGGUGUGUGCUGCCUCCUCCUGUUUUGCAGUCUGAUCUUCUGGAGGCAUUUUCUCAACUGAGUUUUCCUCUUCGGAGAUGACUCUAGCUUUUGUCAGAAAACUAGCCAGCACACCAGCUUUCUGUAGGAUUUAGACUGAGGUCCUUCCGCUGUGAUCUAACGAGCACAUCACCUAGUGAACCAUCAUCUCCCAGCCCUUCUGUGACACAUGCUUUGUUGCUCAUUGCUAUCUAAGCCAGGACAGCUGGCCCCUGACUUUCCAGGCAUUCUCCUGUCCAGUUCUCGUCUUCCCAUAGGAGCGCUGGCAUUACAAACUCAUGCUACCCAGUCCAGCUGUCCUACUUAGGGUAUCAUCGCUGUGAUGAAACACCUCGACCUCGGAAGUUGAACUUUCAGAACUGUGAGAAGUGGGGUGCUUGCUGUUCAAGCAAACUGAGCCAACUAAGGCAGCAUGUUAGACCCCUGAAGGCUGGGAUGGGAUGGCAGGAGCUUAAAGCCCUACCAUUCAUGUUCUGGAUUGACCAUAGCUGCAAACAUGUCUCUAGUUGUGGAAACCACCAGGCACAGGUAGUGGCCAAAGGAAACGUGCCAAAGGGGAAGUGGCCAGGGUUGAGACAGACCUGAACACCUUAGGACAGGGGGUGGGGCUUUAGUUGAAGGCUAAGGGUGGGUGUCAUGCUGAAGAGAAAAUUGCAAAAGAAUAGUAUAGCUGUGCCUAUAUGUCAUUUAUCUCCUGAGACACAAAUCUCUACACAACUCUGGUGACCCAUAAAACGGUCCCUGUUCAGUUGGAGAAAUAGGGGCCUCCUUAGUUAUUUCUAACAUAAGUAAGGAGUCUAAUGCAGGAAACUGGCCGCCAUAUACAAUAGUCCCUCCCUUAUCUCUGAUUUCACUCUUGGCAGUUUCAGCUGCCUGUGCUCAAUGGCAGUCUGAACAUACUAAAUGGAAAGUUCCCACGUGAAGUAAUAUAUCAUGUUUAAGUUCUAAACAACUCUUAUGCUGUAUGUGUUUUAUAGUUGUUCUAUUACUGACCCAAUUUCUUACUAAGUGUAAUUAAUAAGAUAAACUGUAUCUCAGGGCAUGUGUGCAUGGGUGGGAAGCAUGGUUACGUAUGAUCUGAGGCUGUCAGCUGUUUCAGGCAGGCACAGGGUACCUGAGACUAUUCCCUGUCACUAAACAGGAACUGCGGUAUUGGAAGGGCUGAUAGGGCUCACAGGAAAAGGGAAAAGCUCUGAAAGAUUAAUAUCUGCAGAAAGGGGGUUAGAGAGAGGCCUCAAUGGCUCAGGUCUAGUACAGCUCAUUCAGAGGACUCUAGUUCAGGUGCCAGCAUCAAUGCCAGGCCACUCACAACUGCCUGUAAGUCUAAUACCGGGGGGAUGCAACGCCCUCUUCUGGUCUCUUCAGGUAACUGCAUAUACAUGGUGCCUAUAAGCUCAUGCAGGUGCACACACAUACACAUAAAUAACUUCAGGGAACUAUAAGCUCUUUGCCACUGGAGGAGCCGCAGAGAAAAGGGAACGGUCCCACCAUGGGCUGCAUGGUUGGGUAGAACCCUAUGCACUGUCCUCCUUGCAACAGAAAUGACAAGGGCCUGUCCUCAUGCCUGCUGGCUUCUAGUUCCUCUCCAGUGCCUCCCAUGGACAGACUCUCUAUGGAAGGCAGCUGCUAUGUCUGUGCCAUUUCCAGCCGUGCUGGCAGCCAGCAGAGCACAGAGGGCCGCCAUCACAGGGCAGAUGGAGGGUGGAGGGGAACUAUGUGGAUGGGUGUGCUGGAGUCAGAUGAACAUGAGAGAGAGAGAGAGAGAGAGAGAGAGAGAGAGCCAGAGGUGGGAACGUGCUCUUCUGUGCUCCAUUAGGAGAAUGAACCAGGUUGUGAAGUCUCCUGAGCUCACUCUUCAGUACCUCGGGUUCCAGCUGUGUGCUAUGCACACCCAGCCUCCCCUGCUGCCUUGCUGUGACCUCUAUGACCUCACAGGGUGCCACCUCAGUGAUUCCGAUCCCACAUGCUCUCCCUAAUAGCCAUCUCACCCUCCAGCCUCACUGCCGGCAGCCCUGGGUGCAGCCCUCGGGUGGGCAGGCUUGUCUGUGCAGAGCGAGCAUUUCUCAGCGCCACUCUUCUCUUGAAAUGUGCUCAGCGUCUUAAUGGAAUGAUCCCUUCCAGAAAAUGGACUAGCACCCGAAAUAAAUUAUCCAGAAAAACAAGACCUCUUUCUCUACCAUGAAUGAAACUGAAGAGCUCAUUAGCCUAAGGAAUAAAUCGUGUUUUCUAGUGUGUGAAGCCAGAAGCCAGAACCAUGAAUAUUCAUAAGCAUGCUUCUGAAAUGAGGGGUGGGGAGCCUUCUUUUAGGCACCACUGAUUUGAAGGAAAGGUAUCCUAACAUUAGACAGGCUGGUUGACCCCAAACAAAGGAUACUGAUGGCCAUUUGGUGAGAAUUUAUACAAUGUUAAUUGCUUAAUUAUACCAAAGUUAAUUUCUAGUAAAGGCAAUAGGGAAAAUUGGCCAAAUUAGGACCAAAGUCUGAGACCAAGGAUGCCUAUGGGUGGUUUUAUAAACUGUGCUCCUAACUGUAACAGUCUCAUGGGGACCAUGCCAACGUGGGGAGGGUGCUGCCACGGCUUGGACUUUGAAUACUGCCCAGAGGCCUGUUCUGUGUGUCAAAGACUCAGUUCCUGGAUGGCAGUGUUGGGAGGGGGUACAGCCAUUAGGAGGGAGGUCUAAUAAGAAGUCCUUAUGUUGUUUAGGGUAUGCCUAAAGGGAGGAGAGAGAGGGCGGGGUCCUUGGUUUCUUCCCCUCCUUUCUCUUUGGCUUCCUGGUCAUAAGAAAACCAGAUGUCUCUACCACAUAUUCCUUGCCAUUGUUGCCUGGCACACCUUUCUGAGGGUCAAAGCAGUGGGACCCCCAAGCCUUGAGCUCAUGUACCAUAUUCUCUUAUUAAAUCCAUCAUUUAAGGUGCCUUGUUAUAGUAAUGGAGAACUAAAGGGUAUGGACCAGUCACCUCCCAGGUCCCUCGGACCUAGCCUUGCCUUCUUGUCCUCCCUGGGUUGUGUGGGUUUAGUUUACUUUUCUUCACAGUUGGGUUAAGCCAAGGCUCUCAACCAUGACUGCACAACCCCAGGGGCUUCUUGAUAGCAGGUUCACCAGACCAAACUUCAGGUCACUGACCACAGAAGUCUCUAGGGCCACACUUGGCCUGAGUGGUUUCAUUCCUAGAGUGGUUUCACUCAGCACACAGCCAGGGCAGAUGCAGCAGCUGGUGUCUGAGGUGCUACUGUGGUUCUCCCGCUUCCCUGAGGACAAGCCUCCCCAGGGAAAGGGAAGUCUGCUCAUGGAGCCUCGACUCCACAGAAGUAUAACACGUCUAUCCUCUCUUUUUGUUUUGUUCUCUUGAAUCAUUGGCUGCGGGGGCAUUCCUGCUUAGAGCCCAGAUUCUUUGCCACAUGGAGAAAGCAUGCUAAGUAGGUCGGUAAGUGGCUCAGCUGAUCUCUCAGAAUCUCUGCAAACUAUGUAGGAGAAGCAGCCAUAAGGCCCAGUCCAAGAGAACAUUCAGGUGACCCCCAUCCCAGUUGACACCGAGGAGCAACCACGGGGAUCAGUACCCUGUUGUACUUGGGCCAACUCGGGCCACACCUGAAACAAACCAUGAGUAGCAGUAACAGAUGGAGACCUUAACCAGAGGGCUGUGCAGAAAUUGUUGGUUGAGCAGAGAAUAGACUGGAAUGGGCAAGAAUCCACUGGAUCAAAGGGGGCGUCUGGGAGGAAGCAUUUGGGAAAAGCACACACCGUCUCCAACAGAGAAGAACACUGGUACAGCGUACGUAGAUCUGAAACAUCUCCCACUAAGACUCAGGUACUAAAGGCUUGGCACCCAGUCUAGGCACUAAAGGUGGAUCUUUUAAUUGGAAGGGCCUAGGAGAAAGAAGUUAGGAGUGUGCCCUUACAAGGGAGAUUGGAGCCUCCCUCUCUUUCACUUCCAGGUUGCCCACAGAUCUCUUUGGUCACAUGUUCCCACCAUGAUGUGUUUGUCGUACUGCACACUCAGAGCAAUAGGACCAAGAGACCAUGAACUGAGAGUGUUAUCCAAACCGAACCUUUCUUCUUUAUAACGUGAUCAUCUAAUGUGUUUGCGUCACAUCGACAGGAAGAUUACUAACAUGCGCUCGCUCCACUUCAGAGGAACGAGCUCCAUCGUCACUCUGGGCCCUGUCAGCUCCUGUGCUCCAGCCAUACAUCAUAAAAAGAACCACAGAUUUGGGGGACAGGACAGCUCUGUAGGUAGAAGCCACCCAUCCAUGCAGUGGUCCCUUCCAGGCUAAACAGGUUUUCUCUGUGUUUUCAAUCUUGCUAGUUUUUCAACUUUUAAGUACCAAUCUUGUGUGUUGUAAUCCAUAGGGUUCAUGGUCCCAAAUGAUGACUGUUUCCACUGGAAGGCAACUACAACCAACAGUCCAUUUUUCAGAAGAGGCAUCAGAAGGCUCAGAGAGGUUAUUUGGUUCUGUUUACAUGGUGCAGUGUGUAACAGAAGAGAUAAGAAUUAAGCACAGAACCUUGGUCUAGUACAGACCACCUGCUGCCUGUAAUAUUACACUUUUUCUUUGUGUGGAGAGGAAAGGAAGAGGAGGACCCCCAACCUCCCCUCAAUAUUUACAAUCCCUCUGUGGCUUGGUAACUCUAGUAAUUGGUUUUCUGAUACUGUAACAACAUACCUGAGGCAGGGUACUUUAUAUGGAAAGCAGGUUCAUUAACUCAGCCCUAUAGGCUUAUUAAUAUGGUGCUGGCAUCUGUGUGACUCUAGAGAUGAACCUCCUGGCAUCACAGUAAAUAUGCAUGAGAGACCACAUGUUAAGACAGGAAGCAGCUGAACAUGCUCCCAACAGCUUAAUCUCUGAGAACUAAUCCAUUCCCUGAGACCAAUAGUAAUCCAUCGUCAACACCAACCUUUCACCCAUAAGAGCCUUCAAAUAGGUUCUAAUUCUUACAAGUCCCACCAUCCCACCAUUGCCACACUGGAGACAGAGCUUCCAGAUACCCUCAGGCCAGGCCUAAGCCAUGGGGAUAGCAGAAGCCUAAUUUGCUUGAGGGAAGCGCUAUAUCCAACUAAAGCCACGCUCCCCAGUCCUUCUCAGAGCUAGGUAUGGGCCUGUGUCUAGUAGGAAGAGCACCUCAGUCUUGCAGGAAAUGAGCUCAGAGGGACCUGCAGGAAAAGCCUGCAGCUCAUGUGACGGCUGGAGCUCCAACAGCUACAUUAAAGUAUGAAGAAACCUUAAAACUAGAAGCCACUUACUGCAAACAGUGGACUGAAAAGUUGUAACAAGCUUGGAUCCCACCAUGGAUUGCCUACCUCUAAACUCCUUAACAAAUUGGUUAAUAAAGGCUUGGCUGGUUAAAGGCCCAUUUUAAGUCUCUGUUUGAGCUAACUUUAGUUCCAGAGUAAUGAAGUUUACAUAUUGGUUAAUUUUGAAAUUGUAGUGGGAGCCCCAUCUGAUGGCACCAUUUGUUCUUAGGACAUUGGACUCCUGUUUUCUGUGUCAGAAGGUGUGAUGGUUUGUAUAUAUGCUUGGCCCAGGGAGCGACACUGUUGAAAGGUGUGGCCUUGUUGGAGUAGGUGUGGCCUUGUGGGUGUCAGCUUUAAAACCUUGUCUUAGCUGCCUGGGAGUCAGUUAGUAUUGUGCUAGCGGUCUUCAGAUGAAGAUGUAGAACUCUCAGCUCCUCCUGCACCAUGCCUACCUGGACUCUCUCAUAUUUCCACCUUGAUGAUAAGGGACUAAAUUUCUAAACCUGUAAGCCAGCCCCAAUUAAAUGUUGUCCUUAUAAGAGUUGCCUUGGUCAUAGUAUCUGUUCACAGCAGUAAAACUCUAAGACAGAAAGCAAGUCAGGUUCUGAUGCUAAUGUCAUUCUUCCCUCGCAGGAAGACUUAGCUGGUCUGGUGGAGAGCAGACAUGCAACAGGCAUUUGUUAGAACCCAUAAUAAGCAUGUAUUGGAGACAGAAUCCCCCAGAGCAGCAGGUCUGGGAGGCUGGCACAUGUGAGGUGUUUAUCACAUGUGAGUCUCCACCCUUGGGAAUUGUACUGGCUAGUUUUGUGUCAACUUGACACAGCUGGAGUUAUCACAGAAAAAGGAGCUUCAGUUGAGGAAAUGCCUCCACGAGAUCCAACUGUAAGGCAUUUUCUCAAUUAGUGAUCAAGGGGGAAAGGCCCCUUGUGGGUGGGACCAUCUCUGGGCUGGUAAUCUUUGUUCUAUAAGAGAGCAGGCUGAGCAAGCCAGUAAAGAACAUCCCUCCAUGGCCUCUGCAUCAGCUCCUGCUCCCUGACCUGCUUGAGUUCCAGUUCUGACUUCUUUCAGUGAUGAACAGCAAUGUGGAAAUGUAAGCUGAAUAAACCCUUUCUUCCCCAACUUGCUUCUUGGUCAUGAUGUUUUGUCCAGGAAUAGAAACCCUGACUAAGACAGGAAUGGACUGACGACCAACCUGAAAGGUCUAGAGUCUAUGACGUCAUUCUUGUGCUCUCCUCACACAAGGCCUUCCUUCCAACAUGGUCUCACCUGCC